CCAUAAGGCGCCCUAGGGCCUACCGGGACUGGGGGCUGCCCGGGGCGGGGCGCGCUGUCCGGCCCGGGCCCACUGGCGGGGGGAGGGGUGACCCGGGGGUGGGGCCGUGGGCCAGGCCCCGUUAGCGGCGGGAAGGAAAGUUUCCAACUCAGCGGGAUGGAAGGGGCCCCGGGCCGUGAAGUUACCUGCGGGUCCCGGACGGGAAGAAGGCACCAGUGGAUCCUGAGCCCGGAGCCGCCUCAGCUGCUUUGUCUCUGCGCCGCGCCCGUCCCGACUGGAGAGGAGGAAAUGGGCUCUUCCGGGCACCUCCCCCUACGGCCUAGCCGGCUCUUCCGGGCACCUCCCCCUACAGCUCCGCCGGCUCUUCCCGGGGCCGCCCGCCCUGCGCAGAUGCCCAUGGCAGCCAUGCUGUGGGGCCAGGAAGCAUCACAGCGGAGGCACCUAUCCAUGCUCUGCAAGGAUGAAGACUAACACGGCUGCUACUCUGAAACCUCCCAGAAGAGAAAUCAUCAUUAAGAGAGAAACAACACUAGCAACUUGAAACCAGUCAAGGUUUUUUUAAAAAAAAAAGUAUUUAAAAGUUGUCUGAGAUGGUAUAUUUGCUCCUGAGUUCCCACUGCUAAGACUUGUGGUUUUGUAAUCACAUUUUCCUUUUUCCCCUCUCUUCUUUUUGCUAUAUGAAAAACACCCAGACACAAGGGAAACUGAUUAUUACAUAAUGGAAGUGAAGUUAAUAACAUAAGAAUGGCCAUACUGGGUCAGACCAAGGGUCCAUCCAGCCCAGCAUCCUGUCUGCCGACAGUGGCCAAUGCCAGGUGCCCCAGAGGGAGUAAACCUAACAGGCAACUAUCAAGUGACCUCUCUCGUGCCAUCCAUCUCCACCCUCUGACAAACAGAGGCUAGGGACACCAUUCCUUACCCAUCCUGGCUAAUAGUCAUUAAUGGACUUAACCUCCAUGAAUUUAUCUAGUUCUCUUUUAACCCUCGUUAUAGUCCUAGCCAUCACAACCUCCUCAGGCAAGGAGUUCCACAGGUUGACUGUGUGAAGAAAAAAUUCCUUUUAUUUGUUUUAAACCUGCUGCCCAUUAAUUUCAUUUGGUGGCCCCUAGUUCUUAUAUUAUGGGAACAAGAAAAUAACUUUUCCUUAUUCACUUUCUCCACGCCACUCAUGAUUUUAUAUAUCUCUAUCAUAUCCCCCCUUAGUCUCCUCUUUUCCAAGUUGAAAAGUCCUAGCCUCUUUAAGCUCUCCUCAUAUGGGACCCAUUCCAAACACCUAAUCAUUUUAGUUGCCCUUCUCUGAACCUUUUCUAAUGCCAGUAUAUCUUUUCUGAGAUGAGGAGACCACAUC
rnacentral:lncRNA from 1 species